CUUAGUGCUAAGGUUGAGUAGAGCCUCCAUGGCUUAGUGGCUAAGGUUGAGUAGAGCCUCCAUGGCUUAGUGGCUAAGGUUGAGUAGAGCCUCCAUGGCUUAGUGGCAAAGGUUGAAGGUUGAGUAGAGCCUCCAUGGCUUUGUGGCAAAGGUUGAGUAGAGCCUCCAUGGCUUAGUGGCUAAGGUUGGGUAGAGCCUCCAUGGCUUAGUGCUAAGGUUGAGUAGAGCCUCCAUGGCU
rnacentral:lncRNA from 1 species